rnacentral:tRNA from 1 species
CAAAUCAGAGCUUGUGAAAGUGUUUUAUUUACGUUAAAAUGAAAAUUUGAAUUAAUUUGAUUUGA